rnacentral:rRNA from 1 species
CAAUAGUGUAUAUUAAAGUUGUUGCGGUAAAAAAGCUCGUAGUUGGAUUUCUACCGAAGAUAGCCGGUCGGGUCUUCGACCUUGUAUCUGGUUUUGUCUUUGGUAUCCUCAUAGGGAACGUUUCUGCGCUUUAUUGCGUGGUGCGGUAUCUAUGACUUUUACUUUGAGGAAAUUAGAGUGUUCGCGGCAGGCAAACGCCUUGAAUAUAUUAGCAUGGAAUAAUAACAUAGGAUCUUCGUCCUAUUUUGUUGGUUUCUAGGGCUAAGAUAAUGAUUAAUAGGGAUAAUUGGGGGCAUCUGUAUCAACGCGUCAGAGGUGGAAUUCUUGGAUUGCGUUGCGACAAACUACUGCGAAAGCAUUUGCCAAGGAUGUUUUCAUUGA